GUACAGCAUGAUGAUCACUGUCAACAUCUGCAAGAAAUGACACGGGAAUAUGAUGAGUCACCUAAUUUCAAAAUCCCACUUUGGUACCAGAACAGAAACUUCACCGUGCUGGAAGAGUACUCCUAUAGACCAGGCUUCGCCCCUGGCCAAUUCACGUCAUUCAGAAAAUGGUCCUUUUGAAAGAGCCUGCAAACGAGGCAGAAGUUGUGCAAGAGAGCUGAACUCUGAACUCAAUUCUUAUCUAACCAUAGAAUAACAAACAAUCUCUUGCAUCUUGUUCAAAAGUUGAAAGAAUGAAAGGCUCCUGUUGCUUACUGCAAACAAUGUAUAUGCUGUCUGCCUGUGUUUACAUUUAGAAUCUAAAGCUCAAAUUAAAUGGAACAGGGGAAAAAUGUGGUUGUCAAGUAUUUUUACAGGGGUAAGAUAACAUGCCAAAAAGUCAACAAGGCAUGUCAGCUGAUUAGGGAACUGAAAC
rnacentral:lncRNA from 1 species